GAAAUGCGAUAAGUAAUGUGAAUUGCAGAAUUUAGUGAAUCAUCGAAUCUUUGAACGCACCUUGCGCUCCUUGGUAUUCCGAGGAGCAUGCCUGUUUGAGUGUCAUGGAAUUCUCAACUCUAUUUGCUUUUGUGAAUAGAGCUUGGAUUUGGAGGUUUAUUGCUGGUACUUGUGAUCGGCUCCUCUUGAAUGCAUUAGCUCGAACCUUUGCGGAUCAGCUAUCGGUGUGAUAAUUGUCUACGCCGUUGCAGUGAAGCAUAUCAAUGGGCUCGGCUUCCAAUCGUCCUUUACUGGACAAUGACUUUGACCUUUGACCUCAAAUCAGGUAGGAUUACCCGCUGAACUUAAGC
rnacentral:misc_RNA from 1 species